rnacentral:lncRNA from 1 species
UGAGUAGGAGUCCUAUUAGGAGUUGGUUAGAAGUAGGAGUCUUGAGUAGGAGUCAUAUUAGGAGUUGGUUAGAAGUAGGAGUCUUAAGUAAGAGUCCUAUUAGGAGUUAGGGUUUAGAAGCCCUAUAAAUAGUCAUGUAUUCCACCUCUUUUCAUAAGCAAUAGAUGAAUCUUUUCUGCAGCCUUUGAGCAGCAACUUGGAGGGAGGAACCCCUAUAGAGUUCCAAGGAUGCCGAUCCCCUAAAGAGAUCAACCCCAAGUUUAGAAU